UCAGGUGUGUAAGUGUAGUGAUACAUUGAGCUAACUGAUACUAAUGAACCGAGAGUCUUAACCUUACAAC
rnacentral:rRNA from 4 species